ACUAACUUAUUUGAUUAACACUUAACUUGUGCCUUUUAAAUAUCUGACUCUGUUUUAUUUAAUAGUGAGUUGAAUUCAAAGCUGCAAGACACUUUAGAACAAAUUGAGGAACAAUUGGAUGUAGCUCUUUCUAAAAUCUGCAAGAAUUUUGACAUUAAUCAUUAUACCAAGGUUCAACAAGCUUAUCGACUUCUUGGAAAAACACAGACUGCAAUGGAUCAACUUCAUAUGCACUUUACUCAAGCCAUUCACAAUACUGUCUUUCAAGUUGUCCUUGGUUAUGUGGAAACUAUGUUGCAGGAAACACGGAUACAAAAUUCCAAAAGCUGCAAUACAAAGAUCUCUGUACAGUAUGUAGUAGCUUAAUUAUUGUUCAUAUGUCUCCCUCUUAGGUUUUAAAUUGAUACUCCCUUUUUCUCUGUACCUACCACUUGAAGAUGCUACUAAAAGAAGAACAAACAUGCUUGCCCAAAGCUUUUUCUUUUCUCCUGUAAUAUUCUUCAUAGAAAAACUGAAGAUUCAGUCAUACAAAUGUAAGGCUGCUGAUACUGUAGUACAUUUGCUUCUAAUUGACUUUCUGCCUUCUAGCUUUUAGUUUUCUUCUCUGGCUGUGAAUUCUCCUUGCAUUGAAUCUUGGAUGCUUCUAAGGAAUUAUCUUUGUCCAGUUUUCUGUGUAUAUACAUGUGAUCUGUCAGUAUCUAUAGCCAGUUUUUCCUUUUCACUCUUAAAAAUAAACAAAUUUUUUAGGUAAUACAACACAAUAAGUAAGAAGUCCAAGUGAGUAGAUUUGAGUUCUUUUUGAAGUAGGUCUUAUUGAUGGUGUGAUACAGAGUAUAAGAAAGAGAAUGAGGAACAAGUAGGAAAUGGUAGUGACAUUUGCACAUUUGCUUUUAUAGGAAUGGUUGGGAAGCAGCAAGACUACAGUAGAAAUCAUGCAUUCUGUUUGAUAUCUUUUUUUUCUUUUAUUAUUCCUAUGGGCAUACAAUGCUUGGGUCAUUUCUCCCCCCUGCCCCACCCACU